rnacentral:rRNA from 1 species
UGCAAGUCGAGCGGUAGAGAGAAGCUUGCUUCUCUUGAGAGCGGCGGACGGGUGAGUAAUGCCUAGGAAUCUGCCUGGUAGUGGGGGAUAACGUUCGGAAACGGACGCUAAUACCGCAUACGUCCUACGGGAGAAAGCAGGGGACCUUCGGGCCUUGCGCUAUCAGAUGAGCCUAGGUCGGAUUAGCUAGUUGGUGGGGUAAUGGCUCACCAAGGCGACGAUCCGUAACUGGUCUGAGAGGAUGAUCAGUCACACUGGAACUGAGACACGGUCCAGACUCCUACGGGAGGCAGCAGUGGGGAAUAUUGGACAAUGGGCGAAAGCCUGAUCCAGCCAUGCCGCGUGUGUGAAGAAGGUCUUCGGAUUGUAAAGCACUUUAAGUUGGGAGGAAGGGUUGUAGAUUAAUACUCUGCAAUUUUGACGUUACCGACAGAAUAAGCACCGGCUAACUCUGUGCCAGCAGCCGCGGUAAUACAGAGGGUGCAAGCGUUAAUCGGAAUUACUGGGCGUAAAGCGCGCGUAGGUGGUUAGUUAAGUUGGAUGUGAAAUCCCCGGGCUCAACCUGGGAACUGCAUUCAAAACUGACUGACUAGAGUAUGGUAGAGGGUGGUGGAAUUUCCUGUGUAGCGGUGAAAUGCGUAGAUAUAGGAAGGAACACCAGUGGCGAAGGCGACCACCUGGACUGAUACUGACACUGAGGUGCGAAAGCGUGGGAAGCAAACAGGAUUAGAUACCCUGGUAGUCCACGCCGUAAACGAUGUCAACUAGCCGUUGGGAGCCUUGAGCUCUUAGUGGCGCAGCUAACGCAUUAAGUUGACCGCCUGGGGAGUACGGCCGCAAGGUUAAAACUCAAAUGAAUUGACGGGGGCCCGCACAAGCGGUGGAGCAUGUGGUUUAAUUCGAAGCAACGCGAAGAACCUUACCAGGCCUUGACAUCCAAUGAACUUUCUAGAGAUAGAUUGGUGCCUUCGGGAACAUUGAGACAGGUGCUGCAUGGCUGUCGUCAGCUCGUGUCGUGAGAUGUUGGGUUAAGUCCCGUAACGAGCGCAACCCUUGUCCUUAGUUACCAGCACGUAAUGGUGGGCACUCUAAGGAGACUGCCGGUGACAAACCGGAGGAAGGUGGGGAUGACGUCAAGUCAUCAUGGCCCUUACGGCCUGGGCUACACACGUGCUACAAUGGUCGGUACAGAGGGUUGCCAAGCCGCGAGGUGGAGCUAAUCCCACAAAACCGAUCGUAGUCCGGAUCGCAGUCUGCAACUCGACUGCGUGAAGUCGGAAUCGCUAGUAAUCGCGAAUCAGAAUGUCGCGGUGAAUACGUUCCCGGGCCUUGUACACACCGCCCGUCACACCAUGGGAGUGGGUUGCACCAGAAGUAGCUAGUCUAACCUUCGGGAGGACGGUUACCACGGUGUGAUUCAUGACUGGGGUGAAGUCGUAACAAGGUAAC